AAGUGGAAUAUUAAAAUUUGAUAUUCAAGUAUAGCAUAGUCAUAUUCGCUUACACGAUUAUAACAUCAGAUUUUCAUACCUACAGCCACAUUUCAAUGAAGGAGUGGAAGCAUUGAAACUUCCUCAACCGGUUAUUACUCGGUUUGUGCAAGUUCUGCUUGUCACCAGACGAAGAAUCUCUAGUUGUUUAACACCGACGUUAUAUGGAUGUGACGCAGUACAUCGAGGUUGUAUCAUGCCAGGCUCCGCAGUCCUCUUCAAAGAGGGAGGAACAUAUCGUAAGGGGCGUUUUGCGUCUGUCUGGGGCGUCAAGUGGGAGGUCGUUGAAGGAAAACGAUACAAAUAUUUAAGCAAAGAUGACAUACUAAUACUUGAUGAGAAACCUAACGUCAACCAGCUAUCUGAAGGCACUACAGUCGUUGGAACAGAUUCGCGAGGAAAAAUAAAGGGGGGAAACAUAAAAAGAUCAUGCAGUUCCACUCACUGUCCUAUUGAAACAAACGGUGAAGAGUGGCAGAGCAAAUUAGAAAACGUUCGAUUAUUCAAAGGAGAAUUGUGUAAAUAGUUCAAUUUCACAUGAUAUAUAAAAUGUCUGUGCGGAUGUUGAACUGUAUUGAACAAUCUUGUAAAAUUUAUCUUUCACUUUUAACGGACGCACUAAAGGUGGGCUAUCGUUAAAAGAGGAUUUGUGGAAGCUCGAUCCGCCAACAAGAUCGAAGCUUCGUGCUCACUCAAACCCUACAUUUAUUUUGAAGAAAGUAGACGACUCUUGCCACUAAUUUCACUAGGAAGAGGGGAAACAUAAAAAGAUCUUUCAGUUCCACUCAGUGUCCUAUUGUAGAGUGGCAAAGAAAAUUAGAAAACGUAAGAGUAUUCAAAGGAGUGUUGUUUAAAUAGUUCAUGUUUGACUAAUACAUCAAAA